GCGAGUCGUCGGGAAGCUGAGUUGGAUGCGCGCCUUGAUCACGUGGAGAGAAUUUUUCGAGUAGUUCGCUGUCAUCGGCGGGGGCUUGAACAUAGAUGGAAGAAAAUUGUUCAGCAAAGAGAGCAGAGACUUCCGCAGGGCGGUCAACAAGCUUUCCCUGGAUGUUGAAGCUGGGGCGGUGACAUUGUAGCGACCGGGAA
rnacentral:lncRNA from 1 species